rnacentral:lncRNA from 1 species
CAGGUGUUGGGAGAAGUGACGCAAGACCCUGGAAGAAGGCCAACGUAUAAAACCCCAAGUCAAAAGGUCAAGCUGUGCAUUUGUCUUUCAAGUUUUCUGCUUUGCUGUCUUCCAAGUGCACCUUCCUUUCAUUCCUGCUGUAAAACUUGCCUCAGUCUUUCCUGCCUGAUACCCCUCAAGCAAAUGCCUCCUUCUUCUGAGGAGGCAAGAAUUGAGGUUGCUGCAGACCUGAUAUGGAUUUUCCACCGCUAACAUAUUUUGGUGCUGUGUGACUCAGAUAAGGAAAUUGAGGCUCAGUGUUGGCAGGUAACAUGUUCAAGAUCUUGAAACUAGCAGGUGGCAGAGCUGGGGUUCAUCUGUCUCCAUGUGCUCAGAGGUGAUCUCUUGUUCUCUGAAGGAGCUCUUUACAGAACAUGAUAUAUGGAGUCCAUCACUGCUUUCUGGCACUGUCUAAACUUGGGCAUC